GGAUGCAUUACAAACUUUGAGCUAUAGACCUCUAUCAUGAUGUCUCUCUUUAACUCACUAUCACCUGAGACACACACUUUGUCCUGGAAUCGGAGUAACCCAUCGGCAGAGACUCAAAAUUCUGAGUUAACUCCCUAUUCUGCAUUGCUCUUGAGGGCUACUAGGGCAGGGUUGACUGACUGGGCUUCCCUUAUUCUCUGGAUUAACUCGGGCUGGACGGUCAAAUUGCCCAAACAUGUGACUCUCUUUAAGUCCUGAAGUCGAACCUGUU
rnacentral:lncRNA from 1 species